AACCAGCACCUCAAGUGGUCAGGAUGAUUAUUGGGCCUAAAGCAUCCGUAGCCGGCUCUGUAAGUUUUCGGUUAAAUCUGUACGCUUAACGUACAGGCUGCCGGGAAUACUGCAGAGCUAGGUAGUGGGAGAGGUAGACGGUACUCGGUAGGAAGGGGUAAAAUCCUUUGAUCUAUUGAUGACCACCUGUGGCGAAGGCGGUCUACCAGAACACGUACGACGGUGAGGGAUGAAAGCUGGGGGAGCAAACCGGAUUAGAUACCCGGGUAGUCCCAGCUGUAAACUAUGCAAACUCAGUGAUGCAUUGGCUUGUGGCCAAUGCAGUGCUGCAGGGAAGCCGUUAAGUUUGCCGCCUGGGAAGUACGUACGCAAGUAUGAAACUUAAAGGAAUUGGCGGGGGAGCACCACAAGGGGUGAAGCCUGCGGUUCAAUUGGAGUCAACGCCAGAAAUCUUACCCGGAGAGACAGCAGAAUGAAGGUCAAGCUGAAGACUUUACCAGACAAGCUGAGAGGUGGUGCAUGGCCGUCGCCAGCUCGUGCCGUGAGAUGUCCUGUUAAGUCAGGUAACGAGCGAGAUCCCUGCCUCUAGUUGCCACCAUUACUCUCAGGAGUAGUGGGGCGAAUUAGCGGGACCGCCGCAGUUAAUGCGGAGGAAGGAAGGGGCCACGGCAGGUCAGUAUGCCCCGAAACUCUGGGGCCACACGCGGGCUGCAAUGGUAACGACAAUGGGUUUCGAAUUCGAAAGGAUGAGGUAAUCCUCAAACGUUGCCACAGUUAUGACUGAGGGCUGCAACUCGCCCUCACGAAUAUGGAAUCCCUAGUAACUGCGUGUCACUAUCGCGCGGUGAAUACGUCCCUGCUCCU
rnacentral:rRNA from 1 species